GGAAAUAUGAAAACUAUCGUUGGAUCUAAAAGUAGACGCAUGAGAUUUAUCUACGUCAUUGUGAGUAAAAAUUUUACUCACAGAUUUAGCAACGAGUAAAAGGUUUACUGGGAGUAUAAAUUUUACUAUUAGUAACGUAAACAAAUCACAUGCGUCCAUUUUUAGAUAUAACAAUAAUUUUCAGGUUUUC
rnacentral:pre_miRNA from 1 species